rnacentral:rRNA from 1 species
AAUUAGAGGAAGUAAAAGUCGUAACAAGGUCUCCGUUGGUGAACCAGCGGAGGGA